GAUGAAGAACGUAGUAAAAUGCGAUACUUGGUGUGAAUUGCAGAAUCCCGUGAACCAUCGAGUCUUUGAACGCAAGUUGCGCCCGAAGCCUCGGCUAAGGGCACGUCUGCCUGGGCGUCACGCAUCGCGUCUCCCCCAAACCGCCAAGGCGGAGGGGAAGGAAGAUGGCUUCCCGUGCCUCACCCGGGCGCGGUUGGCCUAAAUUUGGAGCCCGCGGCACUUAGCUCUCGCGGCGAUAGGUGGUGAACAAGGCCUUGGCCGUGCAAACAACCCGCUGCGAAGCUCUAUGUCACGUGCGCUCGUCGGACCCUUUGAAGUUGCCUUUGGUGACUUAAAACCUUUGCGACCCCAGGUCAGGCGGGGCUACCCGCUGAAUUUAAGCAUAUCAAUAAGCGGAGGA
rnacentral:misc_RNA from 1 species